UACUGUUUUUGAAGGCCCGGGCCAUUAAUUGCACACCUUUUGUUUUCUACAGCUGCUUUCCACUGAUGUUUCUGCAAACAAAAACACAGAUCCAGCUCUUGUGAACUUGCUCAAGGUUUCUUAUACCGAGUCCAAUUUUUCCAUGGCAUUUCCUUAUGUUGCUGCUUCAGAGGAGGCAAUGGAGAAUUCAUUGGUUUCUGGGUUUGCAGAAGCUUGUGGGCAGGAUUUUGGAAUCAGUGAUGUUGCUUUUUCAGAGUCAUGUUCUGUAGAGGGUGAAAACUUUAAAAAGCUUGCAAACCUGCACGCCAUCAAUGACUAUCUGGCUUCAAGGAUGGAGAAGAGGCCUAGUGACCAUACUGACCUGGUUGUAUUCUGUUA